rnacentral:lncRNA from 10 species
CUUUGUUUGUGAUUGCUGCUAAAGUCAGUAUUAUUUCUUUUUUUUAAGUUUGUUGUUGUUGUGUGUUUUGUUUUGUUUUUUGAGACGGAGCCUCGCUCUGUCUCCCAGGCUGGAGUGCGGUGGCGCAAUCUCUGCUCACUGCAAGCUCCGCCUCCCAUUUUCACGCCAUUCUCCUGCCUCAGCCUCCGGAGUAGCUGGGACUACAGGAGCUGCCACCACGCCCAGCUAAUUUUUUGUAUUUUUUUUUUUUUUUUAAGUAGAGACAGGAUUUCACCGUGUUAGCCAGAAUGGUCCUGAUCUCCUGAGCUCGUAAUCUGCCCGCCUUGGCCUCCCAAAGUGCUGGGAUUACAGGCGUGAGCCACUGCGCCAAGCCAAGUUUGGUUUUUUAACCAUGCUGUUCCAGCAAAGAUGGGACCUCAAACUACCACUGCAAGCCCAUGGACUUCCCAGAGAGGGUAUUGUGUGGGUGGCACAGAUCUGGGCAGUUAGAUGGAGCUCUAUGCAUGAGAUGAAGCCACACUGGCGUGAAGCCUCGCUGCCCUGUUUGAGUGAGGCAGUCCCUGCUGCCCGAAUGCGUGAAGGUACAGCCAUUCAGGUUCAUGUCACUGUGUGAUAUCAGUGUCAUUGUGACAGCCGUAAGAGGAUACAGGAGCACCAGUACAACAAAGUCACCUGUUGCGGCUGAUGCUUCAUGUGAAAUCAGAAGACCCAUGAGAGGGCAUCUGGAGACUGGCCCUAAAGUGCUUUUCUCCACAGGAAUGUCACGUGGGCACUGCAGCCAGGUGUCCCAGUUGCCUCUGAGGAGGGCUGCGUUCCCAUCUUCAGUGAGGCAGAGCUGAGAGAAAGCAGGCAGGGUUCAGAGUUCCUUCACCCACUUGCUUAAGCCAUACAUUAAAGGUUCAAACUCAAAUAAAUCUGAGAUCUUACAGAAGCAUUUAGAACCACGUAUAAAGUAUGGAUCACUUUUAAGUAUUUGAGAAUGCACACAAACCACAUGAAGCUACUUUUGUUAAAAGUAUAUGUUCUUUGCAGUAGUGGUUAGUAGUAUUCUUUUGUGAGGUGGCUUUUUUUUAUUUUUUCGAGACAGGGUCUUACUGUGUUACCCAGGCAGAAGUGCAGUGGUACGAUCAUAGCUCAUUGCAGCCUCAAACUCCUGGGCUCAAGCAAUCCUCCCAAGUAGCUGAGACUGCAAGGACACGCCACCACAUCUGACUAUUUACGUAUUUAUUUUUUGUAGCAACAGGGUCUUACAUGUUGCCCAGGCUGGUCUGGAACUCCUGGCCUAAAACAACCCUCCUGCCUCAGGCUCCCAAACUGCUGGGAUUACAGGGCUGAGCCACGGUGCUCUGCUAGCAUUUUGUUGUUGUUUUAAGCAAUCACCGUUUGGAUUCUUAGUUCUCUUAACUUUUAGGUUUUUAACAGUUCAAUACACCUUCAAGUGUUCCUUGGAAUAUUUUUUUCUGGUUUAACUAUUGGUUCAGGCAAUGUCUAUGGCCCGUUAUAACGCUAAGACUCUCUGAUCUGUAUCCAUUUGGUUAGAGAACGUAUGAGUAAAGCAAAGGUCAUUCAAUGACUUCACUCCAAUACCUUUUCCGUAAUCUCUAGUUCUAAAGUUUGCCUAAUGCUUUUGGGUAUUUCACUCUAAUAACUUUUCCGUAAUCUCUAGUUCUAAAGUUGCCUAAUGCUUUUGGGAAAAAGGUGCUUUUGAGACAAAUACUUCAGAGUCCCUGCUCUGCUAAUGCAGAGCCAGUCUUAAUUAAUAGUGAAAAUGACAUUGUUUUGCCUUAUUCAAUAAGAUUAACUGAGCAAACAUUUAUUGAGCAGCAAUUCUGGACAAGACGUUAAGAAACAUACAAAAUGGGUUGGGCGCAGUGGCUCACACCUGUAAUCCCAGCACUUUGGGAGGCCGAGGCAGGCAGAUCAUGAGAUCAGGUGAUCGAGACCAUCCUGGCCAACAUGGUGAAACCCCAUCUCUACUAAAAUACAAAAGAUUAGCCGGGUGUAGUAGUGGGUGCCUGUAGUCCCAGCUACUCUGAAGGCUGAGGCAGGGGAAUCACUUGAACCCAGGAGGCGGAGAUUGCAGUGCUCUGAGAUCGCUCCACUGCACUCCAGCCUGGUGACAGAAGGAGAUUCAUUCUCAAAAAAAAAAAAAAAAGCAAAUAAAAAAGAAACAUACAAAAUGAUAAUAAAUUGUAUUGACAUUAGGAAGCUUAAGGGAAAUAUGACAUACUAAUAAAUUACCGUAAUUAAGGCAUAAUAUAAUAAUAAAAUAAGAGAAUAAAGUGUUUUAAUAAACAUGUUCUACCACCCACAGUUCCCAAUGUGCAGCUUCACUCAGGGGAAGUAAGUUUCUAGGCCAGCCGCUAAGGAUGCAUUUAGUUUAUAUUCAGCCUCUCAAAAUGCAGUUCUGUAAUCAGAAUACAAAAACAACCAACAACAUCACUAGCCCAAACUUCAUUACAUUUCAGGUAAUACUAAAAGUCAUACAAUGCUUACAACAUAAAACUUUGUCGUGGAGAGUAUAUUCAAUAAACCUUACAUGUAAAGCAGUAAGAGCUCUUUGCCUACAAAAUAUAAAAAGUAAUUACAAGUAAUACUCUCAAUACAUCUCAGAUGCAUUGCUAUUGUUCGCUGACUUGCUCAGUUGAUCCUCUCUCAGUCAACUUAUAGCUCUUCCUUACCACUAAGCGGCAGUAAAGGCUAAAUAAUGACGCAAAUCUACUAAUCUACUAAUAUAUAAUUAAUAAUAAAAUAAUAUAUAAUCUACAAAUCUACGUGUUCCCUAUCCAAGUGAAGUUUUCCCAUUAUUUAUACUUAAUAAAUAAAUAAAUAAAUGUGAGAUGGGAUUUUAAACUUCCACAUUAAAAAAAAGAAGAGUGGAGGGAAAAGUGGGGAGGGGAGAAAUAAAGACAUGUGAAUAAAACAUUUGCUUUACCAUUUAUCUUUUAAAAUGACAUGGAAUGCCAAUUUCAGGAUCACUUAAUCUUUAAAAAAAACAAAACAAAACAAAACAAAACUGCAGUCUGAACACCGUCCUUACAAACCUGCCAAUCGCUGGUUCACUGUGUUAGGUCUCCCAUGUUGCCUAUAUUGUCACUGAAUUACACUUGACCCUUGCAUGGGAUUACCCUCCACCCUGUGGGUCUUCACUAACUAGGACCCCAUCUGCCUGCAUGCCAUGCUGACCACUUUCCUUGCCAUCUGUUAGCUCCUUCUUUAGUAUUUGAUCUUCAGGCCCCCACUUCCCCUUCUAGCUCUUUCUGGCACUCUGGUUUUCUCUGUUCCUUUAGCCCAUCCUAUCCCAGAUCAGCUCUCAGAAACGAAAAUGGGGACUUCAGGAGGGAGAAAAGGAAAGCUGUUAUUAUAACCCUUCCUAUCUCAUUUUCCUAUACAUUUCUCCCUUUCUGUCUUAGUCUCUCUCUCUCUCUCUCUAAUACACACUCAUACACACACAGAGAGAAAUUUACAUAGUAAGAGAGAUUAGGAAGGUAAAUUUCUUGGCAGAGUCAGGAAAAGGUUGAAGAGUUGCUGAUAUUAAAACAAAUUUGAAUUAAACUUUUUUAGACUUCAUAGGUAGCUCCUCUCAAAAAGGUUAAGUUAAGGAAUUUUGUUCAGGGCAGAUUACAGAAUAUAUGUAAAAUAUUUGAUACUGUUUUGUUAUUAUUAAAACUCUAAUCAUAUAAUUGUAUAUAAUAUUUUUAGAGUAAAUAAUUAUAUAGUUUAUAUUUCUUUCUAAUCUAGAUAUGGAUUCUUACUUUAGCUUGGAUAUUUGUUAAUCUUUUCACAAUCAUUGAGAUAAAAUCAACUUAUAUUUUAUGUAAAUUAUAGUCCCUUACUGAAUACCAUAGAAUUGUUAUCAUAAAUCUUAAAUAAGAGGUUAUAUGUUUCAUAUAACUUUCCAAAAAUAAAACCAACAGUGUGCUUUGUUUUCCAUUAUUAUGACUCUGGAAGUUAUAAAGCUUUUACUAUUGCACAUAUUGUUACAAAUAAACAGUUUGACUGAAAAUGCGUGCAGUUUCACCUAAAAAUAGAAAACAAAAGCUUUGUUUUAAAAAGCUGUCAAGGAAAAUUUGAAUAAAAGCGAUAUUUUCCACAAUUCAGAUUUAAUUAAUUUUAUAUAUUGCAAUUGAUUUAAAUAGAAUUUUAAUUUCAGAACCAUUUUAGAUUUACAGAAAAUGUGUGAAAAUAGUAUGGUGUUCCUGUAAAGCCCCAAACCCAGUUUUCUCUAUUAUUAAUAUCUUACUAUGGUAUAUUUGAUAUAAUUAAUGAAUCAGUAUUGAUGAACUAUUGAUAUCUAAAGAUCAUACUUGUUCGGAAUUCCUCAGUUUAUUUAUUGUCUAUUUUCUGUUCCAGGAUACAAUUUAGAGCAUAACAUUACAUUUAGGCAUUAGGAGAGAGACUCGAAGUCACAUUGUGCUGCUGGUCCAUUUAAAACUUCCUGUUUGAAGAUGCGUAACAAAUUAUAUUUUCAAGUUUUAAAAGUCACAUUUUUAACUUACAAAAUGUUUAGAGUGCACAUGAGUAUGUGAAACACACUUUCAUGAUUAAAAUACUAAAUUUUGGAAUAUAUAAGUUUUAAUUACUAGAAAAUGUUUUCAACUGUGGGUGUAUUUAGUUUAUUUAAGUGUUUUUAUGAAAGCAUUUUGGAAGUCUCCACCCAUGAAUUGGUGUCUCUUAACUUCUACCUGUAUUUCUAAGUGUCAAUUAUAUAUAUUUUACUGUUUUUCUAUUUAAUGCAUAAAGUUAUUUUUGAGUGCGGUAUAUAUCUUUUAAUAAUAUAAAAGGCAUAACUCUGUUCUUUUUACCUAUUAAAUGGAUAAACUUUUAUUUACGCGUGUCCCAAUAUCACUGAUUCAAUUUUUGCAAUGUGAACUCUGCUUUCUACUCCAAUAAACAAGUCAUUUAAUUAGAGUCUUGUUUGUUUCAUUUCCUUAGCGUUUUCAUUUUUGUGUGUACUUCUGCACCAUCCGUUCUCUUUCCUAACAGAUUUAAGUAGUAUUGAUUGACAGCCUACUCUGUGCCAGUCUUUCCUCCAUGGGACUAGCUUCUAAGUCAACACUUCCAGAGGCUCUGGUUCAAGUGCCCACAGGCGGGUCAGCUGGCUCCUCUCUUUCCAUGGGCACACCCAUCAGUCAGGUCCCUUUGUAGCUCUUUCCAUUGGCUUCUCAUAUUUUUCAUCCCUCUUGUCAACAGAGUCAGUGUUUUCUUGAUUUUUUUUAAAUAAAAAGCUCAUGCUUUUUGAAAUUUAAUUAUAUUUCUUGGACUGAUAUUUUCCUGUUUAUUUUAUACUAAAAACAUGUUUUUCUUCUGAAUUAUUCCUUUCCAUUAAUGCUGUAGGGUGUUUUUAAACGUUCAAAAGUUGUUUUAGAUUGUGUUGUUUUAAUUAAUUUUAUUCUGUUCCUCAUCUUUUAAAUAAAUUAGACCAGGCGUUUUGCUAAUAACACUGCAUGGAUAAAUUCUCCUUGGCCCCAGUUACCGUUCACCUGAUUGCUGUUUCAAUUUUCACUUCAGACCUUAAACUGAAGAGUGGAAUGAUUGUCACAGUCUCUAGCCAUAUUCUAGUGAUUGCCAUUUGUUUUAUAAAGUUCUGAAAGAGAUAAAAAUAUGUAUGAUGCUCUUUCCUAGUUAUAUGAAUAUAUGUAAGAGAGUUUAGUCAUAAAUUAUUUGAUGCAUACACUAACAUAAAUUUUUGAAAAACAGAGGAAAAAAGCAUAACCAAUUCCCAAGGAGCAUGACUCUCUUAAGUUCUUUCUUACCCAUUCCUUUUGACUUUAGUAUUCAAAAGUCAAUAUUUUAGGACACCUUGCUAAUCUACUUCUAUCCCCGAUGGUUUUGCAAUAAUGAAUAAGUAGGUUUCCACAUAAAUGAGGACAAUGUUUCACUAAUGGACUGUGAAGGAAUGCAGGGAAAGAAACAGACAAAUAGACAUGGGUAGGCGGGAGUCACCGGGACAGCUUCUUCUGAAUAGUGAAGGCGCAGGUCUGAGGUAGGGAGUAUGCCGUUGGGUAGACAGAAACCUUUUAUCCCUCUUCUAA